UGUUGCUUGCUCAUUCAUAUCUCGAAAGACAAAUGGCUUCUAACAUCAAUAGUGUCUUUUUUUUCACUGCAUUACUAUGUAUUUCAUCCAUUUUGAUUCCAGGAGAAGCUAUUGAUUCAUCUCCGUGGAGUUAUUGCAUUGGGCAAGGGCCAUGUCCAAAUAAGGAUCAAGAUUGUAGUGUUUUAUGUGUGAAAAUGAAUUUUCCUAAUGGUGGCAAGUGUAAUGGAAAUCAAUGUUGUUGUGAUGGAUAAUUGUACCUUCACAAAAUAUUUAUGCAAGUGUUUCUGUAUCAAAAUAAGUGAAAAAAAUAAAUACAUUGAUUUUAGUUUUAAUUAUUA